rnacentral:rRNA from 1 species
UAGGGAAUAUUAGUAAUGGGCGAAAGCCUGAACUAGCAACGCCGCGUGUGCGAAGAAGGCCUUCGGGUUGUAAAGCACUUUUUGAGAGGAUGAGGAAGGACGGUACUCUCAGAAUAAGUCUCGGCUAACUACGUGCCAGCAGCCGCGGUAACACGUAGGAGGCAAACGUUAUCCGGAUUUACUGGGCGUAAAGCGCGUGUAGGUGGUUUGGUAAGUAGGGCGUGAAAGCUCCUGGCUCAACUGGGAGAGGACGUUCUAAACUGCCAAGCUUGAGGAUGGUAGAGGGAGGGGGAAUUCCGGGUGUAGCGGUGGAAUGCGCAGAUAUACGGAGGAACACCAGUGGCGAAGGCGGCCUCCUGGACCACUCCUGACACUCAGACGCGAAAGCUAGGUUAGCAAACGG